rnacentral:rRNA from 1 species
UACGGAGGGUGCAAGCGUUGUCCGGAUUUAUUGGGUUUAAAGGGUGCGUAGGCGGCUUUGUAAGUCAGUGGUGAAAUACGGCAGCUUAACUGUCAAGGUGCCAUUGAUACUGCGGAGCUUGAGUACAGAUGAGGUAGGCGGAAUUGACGGUGUAGCGGUGAAAUGCUUAGAUAUCGUCAAGAACACCUAUAGCGAAGGCAGCUUACUAGGCUGUAACUGACGCUGAGGCACGAAAGUGUGGGGAGCAAACAGG